rnacentral:lncRNA from 1 species
CUCAGUGAUCACUGGAUCCAGGUACAGGAGCAAAGACCGAAGGUGUUCAGAGAGUUCAGACUCCAUUUAGAGAAAACAGAGCAGAAGGAGGAAUUGGUUUUAAUUAAACACCAAGAAGAAAAGUUGAGGAGGAAGAAAGUGUGAAUCCAGCAGCAUGAAUCAGUGUGAGGACAGAGAGGAGGGAGCCCCUCCCUCUAAAACCAGUCUGUGUGGGGACCAUGAGAACCAGAACAAAGCUCAGAGGUCCCAUCAGAGACGAGGAUCUGCUGAAUCUGAAUCUGGACCUGGACCUGGUCCUGAACCUGGACCCAGCUGUGUGUCCUUCAAGAGCGACCGGUCAAAGGAACAUGCUAUUAAUUUCAAAGACCAACCUGUAUUUAAGUCACAGUGAGUUGUUGACACUUUAAAUCAUUCUGAACAAUCUGAUGUAAACUUUCUCUGAUGAUAAACAUUUGUGUUGUUUCCAUUUCUUGAUCUGGUUGAUUUGUGUUUGAAGUGUUGAUGUGAAGGAAAAGCUUUCUUCACUCUGAUCAUUGAUCAAAUCUCCAUCCAGCAGUAGCUAAAGCUCUGAUCCUGUAGAGGGUCUCAGGGGCUGCUCCUCUUCUAAUGAAGCGCUGACGUCAAGAGAAGCAGCUGAUCAUCUCUGAUCAAGUCUGUUUAUUGUUGUCUCUACAUGAAGGUUUUGGUCAAAUGUCUUGAAGCUUCUUCAUUUGCAGCAGUAAAUUGAAGUUACUACUGGAGACUUAGUUGUGAUGUUGUUGCAGUGGAGACGACUGUUUGUCCCCAGUGUCGACACCAAAGCCGACGUCCAACAAUGAAUGAAUGUAGGAAGUAGUUAAAUGUUCCUAGUUCAACAUAUUCCCACUGGGAGCUGCCCAGUACAACCAGUCUGAUCCCAGCAGACUCCUUGUUCCAACACUUCAGCCUUGUUCAGUGAGGGAGGCAGAGAUAUAUGUUGUUCAGAGCUGAGACUGAAGCCAUUGACUGACAGUAAACCUUCACCACUACAGGGAGUCUCUGACUCACUG